rnacentral:snRNA from 1 species
GCCCUUCGAGGCAUUUGGUCAAUUUGGAAUGAUACAGAGAAGAUUAGCAUGGCCCCUGCACUAAGGAUGGCACGCUACUCAAAAGAGUGAUGGGCUACAAACCAUAACUAU